GAUGAACGCUGGCGGCGUGCCUAAUACAUGCAAGUCGAGCGAACGGACGAGAAGCUUGCUUCUCUGAUGUUAGCGGCGGACGGGUGAGUAACAAGUGGAUAACCUACCUAUAAGACUGGGAUAACUUCGGGAAACCGGCGCUAAUUCCGGCUAAUUUUUUGAACCUCAUGGAUCAAAAGUGAAAGACGGUCUUGCUGUCCCUUAUAGAUGGAUCCGCGCUGCAUUAGCUAGUUGGUAAGGUAACGGCUUACCAAGGCAACGAUGCAUAGCCGACCUGAGAGGGUGAUCGGCCACACUGGAACUGAGACACGGUCCAGACUCCUACGGGAGGCAGCAGUAGGGAAUCUUCCGCAAUGGGCGAAAGCCUGACGGAGCAACGCCGCGUGAGUGAUGAAGGUCUUCGGAUCGUAAAGCUCUGUUAUUAGGGAAGAACAGAUGUGUAAGUAACUGUGCACAUCGUGACGGUACCUAAUCAGAAAGCCACGGCUAACUACGUG
rnacentral:rRNA from 1 species